rnacentral:misc_RNA from 1 species
CUAAAAACAAUCGACAUAGUUGCUGUUUCGCAGUGACAUUCGUCGGAAAUUGGGUCAUCUUAAACCUUUUGGUUAAGCGGCUUAAAAUUUUCUUUACGAUUCCACGACGUUUCUAAGAUUUACUUCUUACACGUUUAAGGUAAUCGAUCAUUAUUAGACGUGACCGUCGCAUCGGAUCGCGUCCAUAAAUAUUUCGUU